rnacentral:rRNA from 1 species
GAUCAUGGCUCAGGAUGAACGCUAGCUACAGGCUUAACACAUGCAAGUCGAGGGGCAGCAUUGGAGUAGCAAUACUCAGAUGGCGACCGGCGCACGGGUGAGUAACACGUAUCCAACCUGCCGCUUACUCGGGGAUAGCCUUUCGAAAGAAAGAUUAAUACCCGAUGGUAUAAAGAGUUCGCAUGUUCUCUUUAUUAAAGAAUUUCGGUAAGCGAUGGGGAUGCGUUCCAUUAGAUAGUUGGCGGGGUAACGGCCCACCAAGUCUACGAUGGAUAGGGGUUCUGAGAGGAAGGUCCCCCCACAUUGGAACUGAGACACGGUCCAAACUCCUACGGGAGGCAGCAGUGAGGAAUAUUGGUCAAUGGACGAGAGUCUGAACCAGCCAAGUAGCGUGAAGGAUGACUGCCCUAUGGGUUGUAAACUUCUUUUAUAAGGGAAUAAAGUGAGGGACGUGUCCCUUUUUGUAUGUACCUUAUGAAUAAGGAUCGGCUAACUCCGUGCCAGCAGCAGC